rnacentral:rRNA from 1 species
GAUCAUGGCUCAGGACGAACGCUGGCGGCGUGCUUAACACAUGCAAGUCGAACGAGAAUCUGCGGAACGAGGAUUCGUCCAAGUGAAGCAGAGGACAGUGGCGGACGGGUGAGUAACGCGUGAGGAACCUGCCUUUCAGAGGGGGACAACAGUUGGAAACGACUGCUAAUACCGCAUAACACAUGGGUGUCGCACGGCACUGAUGUCAAAGAUUUAUCGCUGAAAGAUGG